rnacentral:rRNA from 1 species
GAUGAACGCUAGCGGCAGGCCUAACACAUGCAAGUCGAACGGAUCCUUCGGGAUUAGUGGCGGACGGGUGAGUAACGCGUGGGAACAUACCCUUUGGUACGGAAUAGCCUCGGGAAACUGGGAGUAAUACCGUAUGUGGUCGAGAGACGAAAGAUUUAUCGCCAAAGGAUUGGCCCGCGUUGGAUUAGGUAGUUGGUGGGGUAAUGGCCUACCAAGCCGACGAUCCAUAGCUGGUUUGAGAGGAUGAUCAGCCACACUGGGACUGAGACACGGCCCAGACUCCUACGGGAGGCAGCAGUGGGGAAUCUUAGACAAUGGGGGAAACCCUGAUCUAGCCAUGCCGCGUGAUCGAUGAAGGCCUUAGGGUUGUAAGGAUCUUUCAGGUGGGAAGAUAAUGACUGUACCACCAGAAGAAGCCCCGGCUAACUCCGUGCCAGCCGCCGCGGUAACAC